rnacentral:rRNA from 1 species
AGGCAGCAGUAGGGAAUCUUCGGCAAUGGACGGAAGUCUGACCGAGCGAUGCCGCGUGAGCGAAGAAGGUCUUCGGAUUGUAAAGCUCUGUGAUUAGGGAAGAAGGCUAUUAGGAGGGAAUGCCUAAUAGGUGACGGUACCUAAUUAGAAAGCCACGGCUAACUAC